UACGUAGGGGCAAGCGUUGUCCGGAUUUAUUGGGCGUAAAGCGCGUGUAGGCGGCCAGGUAGGUCGGUUGUGAAAAUUGGAGGCUCAACCUCCAGACGUCGAUCGAAACCAUCUGGCUAGAGUCCGGAAGAGGAGAAUGGAAUUCCUGGUGUAGCGGUGAAAUCGCGCAGAUAUCAGGAAGAACACCGAUGGCGAAGGCAGUCUCUGGGCGGUACUGACGCUGAGACGCGAAAGCGUGGGAGCGAACAGG
rnacentral:rRNA from 1 species